ACGGAAGGCAGCAGUGGGGGAUAUUGCACAAUGGGCGCAAGCCUGAUGCAGCGACGCCGCGUGAGUGAAGAAGUAUUUCGGUAUGUAAAGCUCUAUCAGCAGGGAAGAAAAUGACGGUACCUGACUAAGAAGCUCCGGCUAAAUACGUGCCAGCAGCCGCGGUAAUACGGAGGAUCCGAGCGUUAUCCGGAUUUAUUGGGUUUAAAGGGUGCGCAGGCGGCUUUUUAAGUCAGUGGUUAAAUCGUGACGCUCAACGUCAUCACGCCAUUGAUACUGGAGAGCUUGAUUGCGGUCGAGGUUUGCGGAAUUCGUUGUGUAGCGGUGAAAUGCAUAGAUAUGACGAAGAACACCGAUUGCGUAGGCAGCAGACCAGGCCGUAAAUGACGCUCAUGCACGAAAGUGCGGGGAUCGAACAGGAUUAGAUACCCUGGUA
rnacentral:rRNA from 1 species